rnacentral:rRNA from 1 species
GCCUUCCUGUUAACUCUUAAUAAAACUUACACAUGCAAGCAUCUACACCCCAGUGAGAAUGCCUCUAGGUUAUUAAAACUAAGAGGAGCUGGCAUCAAGCACACACCCCUGUAGCUCACGACGCCUUGCUUAAACACACCCCACGGGAAACAGCCAGUGACCAAAAAUUUAGCCCAUAAACGAAAGUUUUGACUAAGUUAUAUUAAUUAGGGUUUGGUAAAUCUCGUGCCAGCCACCGCGGUCAUACGAUUAACCCAAGCUAACAGGAGUAACGGCGUAAAACGUGUUAAAGCACCAUACCAAAUAGGGUUAAAUUCUAACUAAGCUGUAAAAAGCCAUGAUUAAAAUAAAAAUAAAUGACGAAAGUGACCCUACAAUAGCCGACGCACUAUAGCUAAGACCAAACUGGGAUUAGAUACCCCACUAUGCUUAGCCCUAAACACAGAUAUUACAUAAACAAAAUUAUUCGCCAGAGUACUACUAGCAACAGCUUAAAACUCAAAGGACUUGGCGGUGCUUUAUAUCCUUUCUAGAGGAGCCUGUUCUAUAAAUCGAUUAACCCGAUAAACUCAACAAUUCUUGCUAA